rnacentral:tRNA from 1 species
GCCCUCGUGGCCCAACUGGCAGAGGCAACGGACUCAAAACCCGUACGGUGUCGGUUCGAAUCCGACCGGGGGCA